UGAAAUGCCCCAAAACGACGUCGUCUUGGAGACCGACCCGAGAUCCGACCAGACCCUGGCAAGGAUCCGCGUGUUUUUUAGUCGGGGGGUCUAAUUGCCGCUUUGGUCAUUUCGCUUUUUAACUGUUUUUCAAUCCAAUCCUAUUUCAUUUUUUCUUUUUUUUUUUUAAAUUUUACCAUUUGAUUUUGGUUUUGUUUCAUUUUAGUCCCUUAUGGAACGAUGCGUUUUGGGAUAGGGAAUAUUUCCCCUUUGGUCCCUAUCUUUUUUCGC
rnacentral:lncRNA from 1 species